rnacentral:rRNA from 1 species
CCUACGGGAGGCAGCAGUGGGGGAUAUUGCACAAUGGGGGAAACCCUGAUGCAGCGACGCCGCGUGGGUGAAGAAGCGCCUCGGCGCGUAAAGCCCUGUCAGCAGGGAAGAAAAUGACGGUACCUGAAGAAGAAGCCCCGGCUAACUACGUGCCAGCAGCCGCGGUAAUACGUAGGGGCCAAGCGUUCUCCGGAUUUACUGGGUGUAAAGGGGGCGCAGACGGGGAUGCAGACCAGGAGUGAAAGCCCGGGGCCCAACCCCGGGACGGCUCUUGGAACUGCGUGGCUAGAGUGCAGGAGGGGCAGGCGGAAUUCCUGGUGUAGCGGUGAAAUGCGUAGAUAUCAGGAGGAACACCGGUGGCGAAGGCGGCCUGCUGGACUGCAACUGACGUUGAGGCCCGAAAGCGUGGGGAGCAAACAGGAUUAGAUACCCCGGUAGUC